rnacentral:rRNA from 1 species
GGACUACUAGGGUUUCUAAUCCUGUUUGCUCCCCACGCUUUCGCGUCUCAGCGUCAGUCAUCGUCCAGAAGGCCGCCUUCGCCACCGGUGUUCCGCUUGAUAUCUACGAAUUUCACCUCUACACCAAGCAUUCCGCCUUCCUCUCCGAGACUCAAGCUACGCAGUUUCGGGUGCACUUCCAUGGUUGAGCCAUGGGAUUUCACAUCCGACUUGCGCAGCCGCCUACACGCGCUUUACGCCCAGUAAUUCCGAACAACGUUUGCACCCUCUGUCUUACCGCGGCUGCUGGCAC